UACAGAGGUCCCAAGCGUUGUUCGGAUUCACUGGGCGUAAAGGGUGCGUAGGUGGUGAGGUAAGUCGGAUGUGAAAGCUCGGAGCUCAACUCCGAAAUGGCAUUGGAAACUACCUUGCUCGAGGGUUGGAGGGGGGACUGCAAUGCUUGGUGUAGCAGUGAAAUGCGUAGAUAUCAAGCGGAACACCAGUGGCGAAGGCGAGUCCCUGGACAACUCCUGACACUGAGGCACGAAAGCUAGGGGAGCAAACAGG
rnacentral:rRNA from 1 species